UUGCAGCUUUUUCACUAGUUCUACAUAAGCAUAACUAACAGCUACUACUAGUCCAAAUGUAAAACGUUUGCUCUGGUUAAGUGGAUUGGCGGGGAGUAUGAGGGCAAAACCAGCAUUUUGCCGACUGACUGCAUUAGUAAACCUAACGUUAAUGAGGAAGACUUUUUCAACGGCUCCUAACGUUAUGGGACAACAUCUUGCUAGAAACUAUGUGGUGGAGGGGAGGAAGGCAGCCAAGAGGUAGUUGGCCGGUUUUCGAGGCCAUUGUGGUCAAAAUUGCUGAGAGGCAACACUCGAAAGCUACAUCAAGGACACCGGAGGAUGGACCAGAAGACCUGAGACCAAGAUGACCCAAGCCCAACCCAUAGUAUGCUUCACUGACAAAUGUUGAUGCUUCAUCAUCAUAUAGACCAAAGGUUUCAGAGAAGGCUGGUAGAGCUCUCUAAGAGUGUGGGAGCUGUG